AGUGAACGCUGGCGGUAGGCCUAACACAUGCAAGUCGAACGGCAGCACAGAGGAGCUUGCUCCUUGGGUAGCGAGUGGCGGACGGGUGAGGAAUACAUCGGAAUCUACUCUGUCGUGGGGGAUAACGUAGGGAAACUUACGCUAAUACCGCAUACGACCUACGGGUGAAAGCAGGGGAUCUUCGGACCUUGCGCGAUUGAAUGAGCCGAUGUCGGAUUAGCUAGUUGGCGGGGUAAAGGCCCACCAAGGCGACGAUCCGUAGCUGGUCUGAGAGGGUGAUCAGCCACACUGGAACUGAGACACGGUCCAGACUCCUACGGGAGGCAGCAGUGGGGAAUAUUGGACAAUGGGCGCAAGCCUGAUCCAGCCAUACCGCGUGGGUGAAGAAGGCCUUCGGGUUGUAAAGCCCUUUUGUUGGGAAAGAAAUCCAUCUGGUUAAUACCCGGGUGGGAUGACGGUACCCAAAGAAUAAGCACCGGCUAACUUCGUGCCAGCCGCCGCGGUAA
rnacentral:rRNA from 1 species